rnacentral:sRNA from 1 species
UACCAUUUCGUCAAAUAACCUUGUGGCUUCUUUCCAUUGCCUGGUACGACACAAUCCUUUAAUUAAAGUGCUGUAAGUCACAACAUCAGGCUUUUCCCCUCUACGGAACAUUUCGUCGACAAGAUUCAGUGCCUCUGUUGUCUUCCCUUCCUUGCAUAAACCAUCCAGUACAGAAUUGUAUGUAACAAUAUCAGGCAAGGCUCCAUAACCAAUCAUGGUUUUGAAUAACCUCACACAUUCUUCCCAGUUACCACACUUGCAUGAAGCAGAAAUCAAGGAUUUAAAAGUGACAACAUCAGGCUUUAUGCCUUUCGUUGUCAUAUUUUCCAACAGAGAAAGUGCUUCUUGAAUUCUGUCAUCCUUGCACAACGAGUUCAUUAGAACACUAUAUGUGUAUACAUCUGGUGAAAUUCCGCCGUUAAGCAUGCAAAUCAAGAAGCUCUUGGCCUUUUCCAACCUCCCCGAUUGGCACAAUGCAUAAAUUAGAGUGUUGUAGGUGACAACAUCUGGCCUGACUCCAUGAUC